GACGAACGCUGGCGGCGUGCUUAACACAUGCAAGUCGAACGGAAAGGCCCUGCUUUUGUGGGGUGCUCGAGUGGCGAACGGGUGAGUAACACGUGAGUAACCUGCCCUUGACUUUGGGAUAACUUCAGGAAACUGGGGCUAAUACCGGAUAGGAGCUCCUGCUGCAUGGUGGGGGUUGGAAAGUUUCGGCGGUUGGGGAUGGACUCGCGGCUUAUCAGCUUGUUGGUGGGGUAGUGGCUUACCAAGGCUUUGACGGGUAGCCGGCCUGAGAGGGUGACCGGCCAAAUUGGGACUGAGAUACGGCCCCGACUCCUACGGGCGGCAGCAGUCGGGAAUAUUGCACAAUGGGCGGAAGCCUAAUGCAGCAACGCCGCGUGCGGGAUGACGGCCUUCGGGUUAUAAACCGCUUUCGCCUGUGACGAAGCGUGCGUGACGGUAAUGGGUAAAGAAGCACCGGCUAACUACGUG
rnacentral:rRNA from 1 species